UACGUAGGGCGCGAGCGUGUCCGGAAUUAUUGGGCGUAAAGAGCUCGUAGGCGGCCUGUCGCGUCAAUUGUGAAAGCCCGGGGCUAACCCCGGGUCUGCAGUCGAUACGGGCAGGCUAGAGUGUGGUAGGGGAGAUCGGAAUUCCUGGUGUAGCGGUGAAAUGCGCAGAUAUCAGGAGGAACACCAGCGGCGAAGGCGGCGCUCUGGGCCGGUACUGACACUGAGGAGCGAAAGCGUGGGUAGCAAACAGG
rnacentral:rRNA from 1 species